GGUGAGAUGGCCGAGCGGUCCAAGGCGCCAGACUAAGGUCCGGUACAAGCAGUACGUAGUGUCCUAUAUCUGGUCUCUUCGGGGGCGGGAGUUCGAAUCUCCCUCUCAUCA